rnacentral:lncRNA from 1 species
GUGCUACGCCAAUGACAACAAAGUUAAGGAAACGAUUUUUUAUACAUAUACAAACGUUACAAAGAGUAUAAAGAAUUUAGAAUACAAGUCAGUUAAGCUGAAAAAAUAAAAUAAAUUAUUGUAAAGACUCUUUGAUUGUAAAGUAUAUAAUAAAUGUGAAAGUAACUACUUGAUACUUGAAAUGAAAUUAUAGUUUUAUGUCAUUUUCUACAAUGAAAGAAGAUAUAGCUUUGUAAAUAUCAAUAUUAAAUACGAGUAAAUUAGAAAUACAAGUGGGAAGAGGAAUAUUAUGGGAUAUGAGACGAUUUAUGAAUGAAGAACGAUCAUAACGUGGACAAGAGAAGAAAAUGUGAUUAAGGUCUCCGACCUCCUCACCACAUUCACAAGCACUACUGCCAAUAAUAUGAAGCCUGGCAAGAUUUUACAAAUUCUAUGCAGACGUGCCCGUUUUCUUUUAUUUACAUUGGAUGUUGAACAAUCAGUAUCCAUACUAGAGGCAGUAUCUACAGUUAUGAACUGUGAAGGUUCAGGAACAACACCCCAGGGUCUGGGGGCUCCUUCAUCCUGCUCAUAAUAUAUUAAAUUUUAUUAAAAAAAAACUUACCAA